GUAGGGGGCAAGCGUUGUCCGGAUUUAUUGGGCGUAAAGAGCGUGUAGGCGGCCAGGUAGGUCGGUUGUGAAAACUGGAGGCUCAACCUUCAGACGUCGACCGAAACCAUCUGGCUAGAGUCCGGAAGAGGAGAAUGGAAUUCCUGGUGUAGCGGUGAAAUGCGCAGAUAUCAGGAAGAACACCCGUGGCGAAAGCGGUUCUCUGGGACGGUACUGACGCUGAGACGCGAAAGCGUGGGGAGCGAACAGGAUUAGAUACCCUGGUAGUCCACGCCGUAAACGAUGGGUGCUAGUGUGGGGGGUGUCGACUCCCUCCGUGCCGAAGCUAACGCAUUAAGCACCCCGCCUGGGGAGUACGGCCGCAAGGCUA
rnacentral:rRNA from 1 species